GACGAACGCUGGCGGCGUGCUUAACACAUGCAAGUCGAACGGAAAGGCCCUGCUUUUGUGGGGUGCUCGAGUGGCGAACGGGUGAGUAACACGUGAGUAACCUGCCCUUGACUUUGGGAUAACUUCAGGAAACUGGGGCUAAUACCGGAUAGGAGCUCCUGCUGCAUGGUGGGGGUUGGAAAGUUUCGGCGGUUGGGGAUGGACUCGCGGCUUAUCAGCUUGUUGGUGGGGUAGUGGCUUACCAAGGCUUUGACGGGUAGCCGGCCUGAGAGGGUGACCGGCAACAUUGGGACUGGAAGAGGGCCCAGCUUCCGAGGGGGGGAGGGAGGGGGAAAGAUGGCAAAGGGGGGGGAGGCCGGAGGCAGCAACCCGGGGGGGGGGAGGAGGGCUUGGGGGUGGAAACCGUUUUGCCCCGGUGACGAGGGGGGGGGGAGGGGAAUGGAUAAAGAGGCACGGCAAAAACAGGUC
rnacentral:rRNA from 1 species